AUCGAACGCUGGCGGCAGGCCUACCACAUGCAAGUCGAGCGGAGCGGCGGACGGGUGAGUCAUGCCUAGGAAUCGGCCUGGUAGUGGGGGAUAACGUCCGGAAACGGGCGCUAAUAACGCAGAAUAUCAGAUGAGCAUCGGCCUGAUUAGCUCGGUGGUGGGGUAAAGGCCUACAAAGGCGACGAUCCGUAACUGGUCUGAGAGGAUGAUCAGUCACACUGGAACUGAGACACGGUCCAGACUCCUACGGGAGGCAGCAGUGGGGAAUAUUGGACAAUGGGCGAAAGCCUGAUCCAGCCAUGCCGCGUGGGUGAAGAAGUUCUUCGGAUUGUAAAGCACUUUAAGUUGGGAGGCGUUACCAACAGAAUAAGCACCGGCUAACUUCGUGCCAGCAGCCGCGGUAAUUC
rnacentral:rRNA from 1 species